AAAGAUUAAGCCAUGCAUGUCUAUGCACACGCCCUUGAUUGGUGAAGCCGCGAAAAGCUCAUUACAACAGCCAUAGUUUAUUGGAUCUUUACGUUCCUACAAGGAUACCUGCGGUAAUUCUGGAGCUAAUACUUGCGAAAAACGACGACCUUACGGAAGUCGUGCAUUUGUUAGACUAAACCAAUCGGUGCUUCGGCACCGUCAUUUGGUGAACUCUGAAUAACUCAGCUGAUCGCACAGUCUCGUACUGGCGACAAAUCCUUCAAGUGUCUGCCUUAUCAACUGUCGAUGGUAGUUUACACGACUACCAUGGUUGUAACGGGUAACGGAGAAUAAGGGUUCGACUCCGGAGAGGGAGCCUGAGAAACGGCUACCACAUCCAAGGAAGGCAGCAGGCGCGCAAAUUACCCACUCUCAGUACGAGGAGGUAGUGACGAAAAAUAACGAGGUGGCCCUCUUUGAGGUCCAUCAUCGGAAUGGGUACAAUUUAAAUCCUUUAACGAGGAUCUAUUGGAGGGCAAGUCUGGUGCCAGCAGCCGCGGUAAUUCCAGCUCCAAUAGCGUAUACUAAAGUUGUUGCGGUUAAAAAGCUCGUAGUUGGAUCUGCGCCAGGUGAAAGCGGUCGCCCGAUGGGUUGUUACUGCUUCUCCCUGGCUAACCCUUCGGUUUUCCCUUGAUGCUCUUAAGUGAGUGUCCUGGGUGACCGGAACGUUUACUUUGAAAAAAUUAGAGUGCUCAAAGCAGGCAUUUCGCCCGAAUAUUCGUGCAUGGAAUAAUAAAAGAGGUCCCUGUAGCCUUUUAUUGGUUAUCGCUACGAGGAAAUGAUCGAAGGGGACAGACGGGGGCAUUUGUAUUGCGACGUUAGAGGUGAAAUUCUUGGAUCGUCGCAAGACAAACUACUGCGAAAGCAUUUGCCAAGAAUGUUUUCAUCAAUCAAGAACGAAAGUCUGAGGUUCGACAGCGAUCAGAUACCGCUUUAGUUCAGACCGUAAACGAUGCCAUCUGGCGAUCCGCCGGCGUUAUGCUUGACCCGGCGGGCAGCCACCGGUAAACCUUUAAGUGGGGUUCCGGGGGAAGUAUGGUUGCAAAGCUGAAACUUAAAGGAAUUGACGGAAGGGCACCACCAGGAGUGGAGCCUGCGGCUUAAUUUGACU
rnacentral:rRNA from 1 species